GCCUAGCCCUGAUAGCAAUGAAAAUACUUUGAGAAGAAAUUGUGGUUUUUUCUUGACAGAACAAAGCGACCAGCGGAAGCUCUUGGUAUGUUUUAGAAAAAUACAAUUUAUUGAAAAAGUAUUGUAAUGGAUAGCAGGAAUAUGC
rfam:Flavobacterium sp. ov086 genome assembly, contig: Ga0070134_103